GUACUGUAAAGGAUAGAAUAAAAAUUAUAAAGAAUAUAUAUAUUAUACUACCUUUUGUAUCAGGUUUAAUUAAUAUAUAAUAUAUUAAUCAAUUUCGAAAUUAUUUGAUCUAAUAAAGAAUAUAAUUUGUUUGUAGAAAAAAAGAAAUAAUUCUUUUUUAGUGGUGAAAAUCCUUCCGAAAAUAAUAAUAUCUAAUUAAAAACGAAAUAAUUAAGUUUAUUAUUUGUAAAAUAUAAGUCCAGUUGGGUAAGCUAAUUGGAAUAAAAUAAUAAAAAGUAAGUAGUAAAAACUAGGCUUUAAAUUAGCUAUGUUUAUAAUUUGUAUUAAGUAAUUUCUUUUUUAAUAAAAAAUAUUUUAAAUUAGUUUUUUAAAUUUUUUUAAUUAUAUAAAAAUUAUAAAAAUGAUUAAAUUAGUAUUUUUGUAAGUUAAAUUUUAUGAACUCAAAUAUAUUUUGACUGUUUAACAAAAACAUUUCUUUUUGAAAAAUAAAAAGUAAAGCCUGCCCGGUGAAUUUUUAACGGCUGCGGUAUUUUGACCGUGCUAAGGUAGCAUAAUAAAUUGUUCUUUAAUUGGGAACUGGAAUGAAAGGUUAUACAAUUUAUAAUUUUAUUAAAUUUAAUAUAUGAAUUUUCAUUAUAAGUAAAAAUGCUUAUAUUUUAUAAAGGGACGAUAAGACCCUAGAAGCUUUAGUUUUUAGUGAUAUAAUAUAGUUAUAUUUAUAGGUUAUAUUUUAAAAAAUUUUGAUUGGGGAAAUAAGAAUUUUAUAAAUAAUUUUGUUAGGUAUGAUUAUAAUAUUUAAAGAUCUUUUAUAUAAAAAUGGGAUGUAAAAGUUACUCUAGGGAUAACAGCAUAAUAAUUUUGGAUAGACCUUAUAUAUAAAAUUGAUUAUGACCUCGAUGUUGAAUUAAAAAUAUCUUUAUAAAGUAGAAAUUAUAAAAGAAGGUUUGUUCAACCUUUAAUUUUUUACAUGAUUUGAGUUCAGACCGGUUUAAGCCAGGUCGGUUUCUAUCUUUUAUUAUAUAAUAGUUUUUUUAGUACGAAAGGACCAAAUAACUUUAAUAUUU
rnacentral:rRNA from 1 species